AGAGUUUGAUCAUGGCUCAGGACGAACGCUGGCGGCGUGCUUAACACAUGCAAGUGGUGCGACGAACCAGGGCUUGCCCUGGGGCCAAGCCGCGAACGGGUGAGUAACACGUGAGUAACCUGCCCCGAUGACCGGGACAACCCGAGGAAACUCGGGCUAAUACCGGAUGUGGCGCACAAUCGUAAGUUUGUGCGCUAAAGGAAGCUUCGGCCUCCGCAUUGGGAGGGGCUCGCGGCCCAUUAGCUUGUUGGUGGGGUAACGGCCUACCAAGGCAACGAUGGGUAGCUGGUCUGAGAGGACGAUCAGCCACACUGGGACUGAGACACGGCCCAGACUCCUACGGGAGGCAGCAGUGGGGAAUCUUGCGCAAUGCGCGAAAGCGUGACGCAGCAACGCCGCGUGGGGGAAGACGGCCUUCGGGUUGUAAACCCCUUUCAGGAGGGACGAAGGUUCACCGGUGAAUAGCCGUGUGGAUUGACGGUACCUCCAGAAGAAGCUCCGGCUUAACUACGUGCCAGCAGCCGCGGUA
rnacentral:rRNA from 1 species